GACGAACGCUGGCGGCGUGCUUAACACAUGCAAGUCGAACGAAGUGGCGAACGUGUGAGUAACGCGUAAUCAACCUGCCCUUCAGAGGGGGACAACAGUUGGAAACGACUGCUAAUACCGCAUACUGAAGGUGGGGUUGGCGUCGGAUUAGUUAGUUGGAGGGGUAACGGCCUACCAAGGCGAUGAUCAGUAGGCGGUCUGAGAGGAUGAACGGCCGCAUUGGGACUGAGACACGGCCCAGUCUCCUACAGGAGGCAGCAGUGGGGAGUCGUCCGCAAUGGAGGAAAAUCGGACGGAGCAACGCCGCGUGAGUGAUGACGGGCUUCGGGUUGUAAAGCUCUGUUAAUCGGGACGCGGUACCGGAAUAGAAAGCCACGGCUAACUACGUGCCAGCAGCCGCGGUAAUAC
rnacentral:rRNA from 1 species